UACAGAGGGGGCGAGCGUUGUUCGGAAUUACUGGGCGUAAAGGGCGCGUAGGCGGCCCUCUAAGUCGAACGUGAAAUCCCCGGGCUCAACCCGGGAACUGCGUCCGAUACUGGAGGGCUCGAAUCCGGGAGAGGGAUGUGGAAUUCCAGGUGUAGCGGUGAAAUGCGUAGAUAUCAGGAGGAACACCAAUGGCGAAGGCAGCUCGCUGGGACGUGACUGACGCUGGAGACGCGAAAGCGUGGGGAGCAAACAGG
rnacentral:rRNA from 1 species